rnacentral:rRNA from 1 species
CCUACGGGUGGCAGCAGUCGAGAAUCUUUCACAAUGGGGGAAACCCUGAUGCUGCAACGCCGCGUGGGGGAAUGAAGUUUUAGGAUUGUAAACUCCUUUUGAUAGGGGAGAUUAUGAUAAUAUCUAACGAAUAAGCACCAGCUAACUCCGUGCCAGCAGCCGCGGUAAUACGGAGGGUCCGGGCGUUAUCCGGAUUUAGUGGGUUUAAAGGGAGCGCAGGCGGCCGCUUAAGCGUGGUGUGAAAGGCCGGGGCUCAACCGGGGCACUGCAGCGGGAACUGGGGGGCUUGAGUGCGGGGGAGGUAGGCGGAAUUCGUGGUGUAGCAGUGAAAUGCUUAGAUAUCGAGAAGAACACUGGUGGCGAAGGCAGGUUACUGUAGCGUUACUGACGCUGAGGCUCGAAGGUGAGGGGAGCGAAAAGGAUUAGAUACCCCAGUAGUC